rnacentral:rRNA from 1 species
GAUGAACGCUAGCGGCAGGCUUAAUACAUGCAAGUCGAGGGGCAGCACAGGUAGCAAUACUGGGUGGCGACCGGCAAACGGGUGCGGAACACGUACACAACUUACCUUAGAGUGGGGGAUAGCCCAGGGAAACUUGGAUUAAUACCCCAUAAAACAGGGGGCCCGCAUGGGCAUAUUGUUAAAGAUUUAUCGCUUCAAGAUGGGUGUGCGUAGGAUUAGGUAGUUGGUAGGGUAAAGGCCUACCAAGCCGACGAUCAUUAACUGGUGUGAGAGCACGACCAGUCACACGGGCACUGAGACACGGGCCCGACUCCUACGGGAGGCAGCAGUAAGGAAUAUUGGUCAAUGGACGGAAGUCUGAACCAGCCAUGCCGCGUGAAGGAUGAAGGUCCUCUGGAUUGUAAACUUCUUUUAUAGGGGGCGAAAAAGGGCCAUUCUUGGUCAACUGACGGUACCCUAUGAAUAAGCACCGGCUAACUCCGUGCCAGCAGCCGCCGUAAAAC